rfam:Brachypodium distachyon strain Bd21 chromosome 1, whole genome shotgun sequence.
CAUAUAAUCCCUCCGUCCGGUAUUAAGUGUCGUAACUUUGUCUAGAUACGCAUGUACCUACAAACUAAAAACGCGUUUAGAUACAUGCGUACCUAGAUAAAGUUGCGACACUUAAUACCGGACGGAGGGAGUACUAU